rnacentral:rRNA from 1 species
UACGGAGGAUGCAAGCGUUAUCCGGAAUGAUUGGGCGUAAAGCGUCCGCAGGUGGCUAUGUAAGUCUGCUGUUAAAGAGUGAGGCUCAACCUCAUAAAAGCAGUGGAAACUACAUGGCUAGAGUGCGUUCGGGGCAGAGGGAAUUCCUGGUGUAGCGGUGAAAUGCGUAGAGAUCAGGAAGAACACCGGUGGCGAAAGCGCUCUGCUAGGCCGCAACUGACACUCAGGGACGAAAGCUAGGGGAGCGAAUGGG